GGAGAGGUACCGAAGUGGCCGUAACGGGGCCGACUCGAAAUCGGCUGUACCGCGAAAGCGGUACCGUGGGUUCGAAUCCCACCCUCUCCGCCA
rnacentral:tRNA from 1 species